rnacentral:tRNA from 1 species
GUAUGUGGCUCAGUGGUAGAGCAUUUGCCUGGUAGGUAUGUGUCUUGGGUUCAAUCUCCAGCACUGCA